rnacentral:rRNA from 1 species
UACGUAGGGACCAAGCGUUGUUCGGAUUUACUGGGCGUAAAGGGCGCGUAGGCGGCAUGACAAGUCACUUGUGAAAUCUCUGGGCUUAACCCAGAACGGCCAAGUGAUACUGUCGCGCUAGAGUGCGGAAGGGGCAAUCGGAAUUCUUGGUGUAGCGGUGAAAUGCGUAGAUAUCAAGAGGAACACCUGAGGUGAAGACGGGUUGCUGGGCCGACACUGACGCUGAGGCGCGAAAGCCAGGGGAGCAAACGGG